rnacentral:rRNA from 1 species
UACGUAGGGUGCGAGCGUUGUCCGGAAUUACUGGGCGUAAAGAGCUCGUAGGUGGUUUGUCGCGUUGUUCGUGAAAACUCACAACUCAAUUGUGGGCGUGCGGGCGAUACGGGCAGACUGGAGUACUGCAGGGGAGACUGGAAUUCCUGGUGUAGCGGUGGAAUGCGCAGAUAUCAGGAGGAACACCGGUGGCGAAGGCGGGUCACUGGUCCGGUACUGACGCUGAGACGCGAAAGCCAGGGGAGCAAACGGG